AUUGAACGCUGGCGGCAGGCCUAACACAUGCAAGUCGAGCGGAGCGGCGGACGGGGGAGUAAUGCCUAGGACUCUGCCUGGUAGUGGGGGAUAACGUCCGGAAACGGGCGCUAAUACCGCAUUCUAUCAAGGGAGCCUCGUUCGUAUUAGCUAGUUGGGGGGGAAAAGGCCUACCAAGUCGACGAUCCGUAACUGGUCUGAGAGGGUGAUCAGUCACCGUGGAACUGAGACACGGUCCAGACUCCUACGGGAGGCAGCAGUGGGGAAUAUUGGACAAGGGGCGAAAGCCUGAUCCAGCCAUGCCGCGUGUCGGAAGAAGGUCUUCGGAGUGUAAAGCACUUUAAGUUGGGAGGCGUUACCAACAGAAUAAGCACCGGCUAACUUCGUGCCAGCAGCCGCGGUAAUAC
rnacentral:rRNA from 1 species